CAACAGUCGACAGCUAGGCCUCAGGAUCUUGCACUCAGCAGAAGCCACAUGGCAUGUUCGACUUACGAGGUGUGUUCAAAAACCGAAGUAUUUACUUCCGGGUUUACGGCAUUCAGAAACAGAAAUGUUCGGAAACUGAAAUGUUCGACAACGGAGAUGUUCAAAAACCGAGGUACCACUGUAUUUGCACCCCACCCUUCUUCCAAGGAGAUCAGGGCAGCAUGAAAAAGUCUCCCUGCUACCGAAGAUGUUAUUCUUAUUUCAAACAGUUCCAGUAAUCAAAGGGGCAGCGAUUUUUAAAAAUUGGCAAAGAGAAAUUUCAAGGUAUAUCUGGCAGGGUAAGAAGCCGAGGAUUAAAUUUAAGAUAUUGAUAGACGCAAAAGAAAGAGGAGGCUUCGCCCUGCCAGACUUGAAAUUGCAUUAUGAAGCAUCUUGCCUCUGUUGGUUGAAGGAAUGGACGAAAUUAGAAGACACAGAUGUGUUAGAUCUUGAAGGUUUUGAUAAUAGAUUCGGGUGGCACGCGUACUUGUGGUAUGACAAGAAACGGGUACAUAAAGGUUUUGGAAAUCACAUUAUAAGAAGGUCUUUGAUUGAAGUCUGGGAAAGAUAUAAAAACUUGUUGGAACAAAAAACUCCAUAUUGGUUGUCGCAGUUGGAGGCGAUAAGUGUGAAGAAAGUCAAUAUGACAGGGGCUUGGGUGACAUAUGAGAAGUUAAUGUGUAAAAGUGAAGGAAAAUGGAAAAUGAGACCAUUUGAAGAAGUUAAGGAUUAUGUGAAUGACUGGCUGCAUUUUUUUCAAAUUAAUGAGAUAUUUAGAAAAGAUUUAAAUCAGAGGGGUUUUGCUGAUAAAGAAUCAAAAUUUCAGACAGAAAUAUUGAAUAAUGACUAUAAGAUUUUAGCAAAAAUGUAUAAGAUAUUAUUGGAAUGGGGUACGAAGGAUGAGGAGGUAAAAUCAGUUAUGAUUGACUGAGCCAAAGAUAUAGGGCAUAAUAUACAAAUGGAGGAUUGGGAAAGACUCUGGAAAGAAGGUUUAAGAUUCACUGCAUGUACAGUUAUAAAAGAAAAUGUUAUGAAAAUGAUGUACCGAUGGUAUGUAACUCUGGUGAAGUUAGCAAAAAUGUAAAAGACAAGUAACAAAUGUUGGAAAUGUAAAGAAAAAGAAGGUACCUUUUUUCAUAUGUGGUGGGAAUGUAAGAAGGUAAAAUGCUUUUGGGAAAUGAUUUAUAAUGAAUUGAAGAAAAUGUUGAAAUAUACAUUUGUUAAGGAACCAGAAGCAUUUUUACUAGGCAUUACAGGUAAUGAGAUAAAUAAGAAAGAAAAGAAGUUAUUUUUAUAUGCAGUGACAGCAGCAAGAAUAUUGAUGGCCCAGAAAUGGAAACAGGAGGAAUUACCUACGAUAGAAGAAUGGAGAACUAAAAUGAUGGAUUAUGCAGAACUGGAUAGAAUGACAGGAAGGAUCCGGAAUCGACGAGAUCAAAGAUUUACAGAAGAUUGGGAAAAGUUUAUCCAAUAUAUGCAAAAACUGAGUGAUAAUCAAAUUACGUUUGUAAGUUUUAAGGAAGCUCUGUGAGGGGAAAUGGUUAAAAGGGCAGAAAUGUUAAAAGGGCAGAAAAGGUAACAAAGGGAAGGAAUGGCAGACAAAUUGAGGGAAGUCAAAAAGGGAAGUAAGAUGUAAUUAAGAUGUAUGGAAUGUAUAAAUUUGUUUUUGUAUUUGAAAACCAAUAAAAUAUAAUAUAUAUAAAAAGAAAAAGUCUCCCUGCCUCUAUUUUAUCCUCACAAGAUGCUGGUGAGGUUGUCUGGCACAAGGCCAUCCUAUGAAUGUCUGGAGUCCCCUUAUAACACACCUUUCAAAAAACAACAUGAAUUACAAGUGGCUUACAAAUUAAAACAGGGAAGAGGAACCUGAGAGCCACUAGAUGUUGUUGGAUUCUAAUACCCAUCAGCCCCAGUCAACAAAGUUAAUGGUCAGGGAAGAUGGGAGCUGUAGUUUAAUGACUGCAUCAGACCCAAUGGUCCCCCACCUCUGCAUAAAAGCUGGCUUUCCUAUAUAAACGGUAGGUAUUAUUAUUGACUGAAGGAAGCUUGCACAAUUGCACCCAGUUAUUUAGCCCAGAAUUCGCCGUAGGUUGUUGCAGCUGACAAAGUGGGAAAGGCUAAUAGAAUCAAAUUAAAAUGUCAUGUAGCAUUAAUUUUACAUAUUAGAGCAGUAAGUAAUUACUUUUUUUUUUUUUACCACUUGAUCUUCAGUUCUCACUGCUCUAAGCCAACUUCAUUCCACUAUGGUUAGUGCCAGAAAAGAUAAAUUUGGCAUCUUUUUCAUGUCUACUUACAAAAAAGCUGCACUAUAAUCUGUCAGCUAGUCAGGUUAUUAGAAGAUAAGUGCAUUUUUUUCUCUUGUAGUUGAACAAUAUUCCCACUGAGCUACUGUUCUCCGGCACAAAAAUGUUCUCAUUUUGUAUGAAAUAAAUCACACGCCUGCUCUAUUGGAUUAAAUUUACACACCCACAGUUAAAUGUUCCUCCUGAAAAUACAAAGUGAUUUCCAUUCUGAAUGUGCAUAAUGCAAAGUAAUUCAAACAAAAAUCUAUAGAAUUAUUCUUGUAUAAAGACGUGCCUGCAAUGGUUCCCCCCAUGUACGCGGGAUAUGUGCCAAAACUUAUUAGGAACAGCUAAUGCAGCCUGGCCUCAUUCUGGGUUGUAUGCCCGUACAACAGAGUGUCUUGCCAGAUGAGAUCUACAUCCCUCUAGAUCCAUUUUAUCCAUUUCUGGUCUUACUGGAGGACGUCAACAUCCCUGCAAUGUUCCAUACAAUGUCUAGAUCUGGACAUAUAUCAUGCAUAACAUUGCUCCCUGCAAGUUUACUCUGUAAAACAGCAGGUAGGAAUCCUUACCCACAGCUAGGCCUUCUCACAGGUAGGCACUUUAGGUGUGGGUUGAUAUGUCUACCCACAAGAUCUACUUGCAAGUAAACCAUUCAGCCUGCUUCAUCAAGUGGCAAGACAGUGUACCCACCCACAGGCAGAUUGAGAUACAAAUAAGUGUCGCUGGUAGGGACGCAGGUGGCGCUGUGGGUUAAACCACUGAGCCUGGGCUUGCCGAUCAGAAGGUCAGCGGUUCGAAUCCCCGCAACGGGGUGAGCUCCCGUUACUUGGUCCCAGCUCCUGUCCACCUAGCAGUUCAAAAGCACGUCAAAGUGCAAGUAGAUAAAUAGGUACCGCUCUGGCGGGAAGGUAAAUGGCGUUUCCGUGCGCUGCUCUGGUUCGCCAGAAGUGGCUUAGUCAUUCAAGCCACAUGACCCGGAAGCUGUACGCCAGAUCCCUUGGCCAAUAAAGUGAGAUGAGCGCUGCAACCCCAGAGCCGUUCGCAACUGGACCUAAUAGUCAGGGGUCCCUUUACCUUUACCCUUUACCCUUUACCCUUUAAGUGUCACUGGCGUGCUGCAGGAUGAAACAGCAGGAUUGUGCACUGAUCCUCAAGCUAAAACUGCAAGCUUUGGUGCUUACUUGCACACAUUUUGGUCCUGAUCUUCAUGCAUGUGGACUGCACAUGCGAAAACAGCAAAGCAGGAAAUAGCUUCACUUUCUUUGCUACUUCUUCAAAAAAUAACCAACUUAUUGCAUCAAAGCCACAAGGUGUGCUGGCGUCCAGUAUCUCAGGUAUUUCCCAACGUAGUGCCCUCUAGAUAUUUUGGACGACACCUCCGAUCAACCCCAUCAGGAUGGCCAACAUCUGGAGGCAACUAAAUUGGUGAAGGGUGGACUAGGCAGAUUCCCUGUGGACAGGUUUAAAAUCAACGAUGAAAGCUAAGAUGCAACUUAAAAAUUUGAAAUCCUGGGUACAAAACAACAGGGGACAGCUACCAUCAUAAUUCUCUGACUGAGAGCUUCCAGAGGCUGCAGGCUUUGAAACAAAACUCUAGAGUAGGUGCACCCUGGUCUGGCUUAGCAGGGUAUGACUUUAGGCAUGUCCUGUAAAAGCUAACUACAAAAGCCCUAAGACUUGCAGGUACGGGGAAGUAUAAUAAAUAAUAAUAAUAAUAAUAAUAUAAAAAGAUUGCUACAUGUUGAAGUUUUAAGCCCACUUGUUUCAAAGUUCAGCUCUACUAAAAUCAAUUUGGCUUACUUUCCAAUAAAUGCGUCCUGCAGUAGUGUAAAACUGGAAGAAGGACUUUGCAGCCCCCAAAUUCAUACCAUCUUGCCCAGCUGAGCACCUUUUACAAAUAAUUUAUCAAAAUGGCUCUCUUUUUAUUAUGACUUGUUACUUUUUGGCAAUACUUUGUUAUUAUGACCCUUCCCACGCAAUUUGUGUUUACUGUUUAUUUUUUACUGCUUAGUGGCAUUGAUUCUUAAUUUUGUGAAUCUCUAUAAAACCACUUUUGUGUGUGUAAAUUCACUAUGCAUCAUUCAUUUGGUUACCUUGAUGUUCUGGUUUGUUUUCUCUUAGCAUGAAAGCCCUGUAGGGUCAGACCAAAAGCUCGGAAUCCAGUCCAGGAAUCCCUGUGGACAGCCAGAAGCUUGUGAGAAGAUUACAAGGAGCCUAGGAAGACCAACAGCCCUAAUCCAGGAUCAAAAACCCACUGCUAACUGAUUUCAAAUCCUGGCUAAAUUAGCUUUGUAGUUAAUCAUAUACCCAC